rnacentral:rRNA from 1 species
UACGUAGGCAGAAAAUUAAGUCAGUAGUGAAAUCCUGCGGCUUAACUGUAGAACUGUUAUUGAUACUGGUUUUCUUGAAUAUAGUUGAGGUAGGCGGAAUGUGUAAUGUAGCGGUGAAAUGCUUAGAUAUUACACAGAACACCGAUUGCGAAGGCAGCUUACUAAGCUAUGAUUGACGCUGAGGUACGAAAGCGUGGGGAGCGAACAGGAUUAGAUACCCUGGUAGUCC